UCAAACCGUUCGUUUACACCCGUUUCAUCGAUUCCAGGUACAUCCAAUUAUCCGCUAAACACACUGGAAAAUUCAACAGGUUGAAUUAUACGCAGGUACGUUUUCACGCGACAGUGAAUUAUUUAUUAAUUACGUUCGCGUAAUUAAAAGGUGAAAAGGUUUUUUCUAUUUUAUUGAUCAUUUCUGUUAAUUCUGUUGCUAUGAAAAUUUUUUAUUUGGACACCGACGAUGGAUAGAUGAUUUCAUCGUCGGUCAAACCCGAUUUAAUUCGAGAAAUUCUGCAAUGCUUAUCGAGGUAUUUUACUAUAUUAGGUUGUUGCAAAAGUGUCUUUCUUUUACAAACACGUCCUUUGCAACAAAUCUUUGUACAAAUAUGAAACCUAAUUUGUGAAAUAUUGUGGUGUUCGUCUGAAUGGAUCAUACGCGAUUCAAUGAAAUAAUAUAAAACAAAGAAUGUUUAAAAGAAUCUUCGGGAAGGGUAAACAUUCGCUAAGAGUUCGCUAGAGAAGUUUCUCUUGCGUCACAAAUGGCCCAGAUUGCCUACGAAAAAUUAAGAGUAACUAGAUGUCAGGACAUUAAAUUGUAUGAAGAUAACAGCGAAAAGUAUGUCGUGCUGUGACGAUGGCAAAAACCGAUUGCUCUUUUCGAAGAAGAAACUUCAGAUAGCGACGAUCUUGAACAUCUUGUUCGUCCUGCAAUCUUUAGAAUUGUCGUAGAAUCGACCGAACACGAAGAUUAUGUCACAGUGUUUGAAAUGAAAAUGUCUAUGGAAACAAAGUCAGCAAUGUCACGAUAACAAAAGCUGAUCUUCUCGAAGAAGAAACUUCAGAUAGCGACGAUUUUGAACAUCUCGUUGGUUCUGUAAUCUCUAGAAUUGUAGAAUCUGUUGAUUGAAAUGGGUUUGGGGUUAAUAAUUAAUCGAUCCACGGACCUCUGAUUUUCUCCAAUAUAUUUUUCCGCCUCGUACAACACGUCUUAAUACACAGAAUACACUCGGUCAAUUAACACGUGUUCGACUUCUAAGACAAAAGAGCGUCGUUAGAAGUCGUACCAACUUAGCUUGUAGUAACUAGCGAUCGUGCCAACCUAACAUUUCUCAACAGAAUCGACUGAACACGAAGAUCGUGUCACAGUGUUUGAAAUGAAAAUGUCUACGGAAACAAAGUCAGCAAUGUCAGGAUGGCAAAAACCGGACGCUCUUCUCGAAGAAGAAACUUCAGAUGGCGACGAUCUUGAACAUCUCAUUCCCUCUGUAAUCUUGAGAUUUGUUGUAGAAUCGACUGAACACGAAGAUCGUGUCACAGUGUUUGAAAUGAUAAUGUUUAACAUUAAACAAAGCAAACAAAGUCUGUGGUAUCACGAUAACUAAAACUGAUUGCACUUCUCGAAGAAAUGCUGUUUAAACGGCGAUUGGACAAAGCUGCAAAUAUUAUGACUAUUUUGUAACGUUUGGAAUCGUUACAGAGUCGAUGGAGCGCUAAGUUCGUGUCAUAGCGAUGCAGAUAGAACAAUGUCUAUAGAAGAAAAGCGUACGGUGUCGGUAUAGCAGAAAUCAUGACUUUUAAUGUCACGCGGAGACGUACCUUGCAUAUCGAAGAUAUACAACGUUUGUUAUUUGCCUUCACAAUGACGUUGAACAUAGCGAAGAUGCUGAUACGAAUAGGAACACUGUUAUUUUAUCGGCCGGUUCCAUUCGAUCGCAAUUCAUUCGCAGACAAAUUUAAUUGUCUUACCUUGUUGUUCGUCACACGACGUGGCCUUGUGCAAUUUUAGCAAACGUCGUCCGUAAACAGAAUCCGGGCACGAUAUCGGAUACGUUGCUUUGCGCGGUUGAUUUAUUAAUUAUUCAUCGACUCGUUCGGUUUCCGUUUGAACGUAUUUCAGCUGGAAUAAACGACGACUCAUGCAAAACCUACCUCGUGUAGACAAAAUUCCUGGCGAUUUUUCCUAACGAUAAAACGUUUAACAAGCAAACAUCGUAACACAUUGAUGUAAGAAACACCUGAACGUGUGACAAUAAACGAUCCAGUGAAUAAGAGACAUCCAAGAUCUAUCGUGACAUCGAGCAAGCAUUUGACAUUUAAAAUAAAAAUUCACCUGAUUCGACUAUCCUCAGUCGAGAUGAUGCCGCGUCUCGUUCAGAUUAGACGAGUUAUUUGGCUUGGCAACUAAGUGAUUGCAGAUUUUGUCAUUAGGUGGUAUUGACAAAAUCCGCAAUCACUUAGUUGCCAAUAUUAUACUCCAGUCGACCGAUCUAACGCUGGAAUCGUCGACGUUCGAAACGCAAAACGAAAGGAAAACGUACUUAUAGUGUUGCGUUGUUGGGUCAUUUUGGAUAUUCGUCAGCUCUAAACACGCGGUAUAACGAAACUGAUUCUGUAAUAGAAUUUUCGAAGCAUGGCAAUUUUCAUGGUAACGAAAGUAACUAAUAAAACAUCGACGCAGCUAAUAAAACAUCGACUUUGUUUUCUAAUUACCACGUCCAUGUAAAUAAGUCGUAAACAGAGCGUAAUAGCAGCUUAAAUAGAGGAAACUUUAGGACGAGAAAUUGUCAUAGCGCGUGUAUGUUUUACCAAAAACGAUGGGAUCGUUGCGAAUUACAAGUCGAUUGUUUAAACGUUUUUUUCUUUUUUUUUUAAUUCAAGUAACUCGUAGCAAAUAAAAAAGCUUGAGUUUAGAUAAUUCGGCUACCCUCAACGAAAUACGAAAGAGCUAAGCAACACGCAAAAAAAAAAAAACGAAUAACAAAAUUGUGCAAACGAACGCGCAUAUUGCAACGAGCGUCUCGUAAGCGCAGCUAAAUUUGCUCUCGUUAAGUCCUAUAUCUGGCUUGGCAACUAAGUGAUUGCGGAUUAUGUCAAUGCCACCUAAUGACAAAAUCCGUAAUCACUUAGCUGCCUGCCGAUAGAAAAGAAACUCUCUGGAAGGUUAAAUCGCACGUUGCCGAGCGUCGAAUUACAAUCGUCGUGAUAUCAGCAGGAGACCCGUUCGGCGAUCGACGCCCACCGAGCGAUAAAGCGCAUCGCUGACGCAAAAAUCAUGGCAAAAGCGAUUCGCGGCCGUUUAUGUAACGGCCAUGGCGAUUAAGCACUGGCAGGACAGAAAUACUUGCACGAAGCCCCGUUUACUCUCGUGGUGCGCGCGUAUGGCUUCGCCAACGUCAGCUCGAUGGAUUUCCUAUAAUUCUGGCAGCGAAAGUUCGCGUACAAAAUCGAGUGCAUAAACAUCGCCGUGUUUGUCGAUCAGGCGAUGUAAAAAUUUGUCAGAAGUUGAAAUCCUGAUCACGGAGAUACGCUCGUUUCAUAGAAAGAAGACCAAAAAGAAAACAGCCCAUUAACCUCACUAAAGAAACAAAAUAGUCAAACUCGAAGAUGGUAUCCCGCUGGGGUUAGCCAUCCACAUGUUAUUUAGCAAUUAAGUUAGACAAAUUUACCAAAUUUCCAGCUGGACAAAUUGUAAGGUACAAAUUAAAUAAUAAAAAAAAAGAAAUUUUGUGUGCUACACUAGAUUAGCCGUGUAGUAGUGACACACAUAUAUGAGUAUGAAUGUGUGGGAGUAUGUGCGUGCACAGCGUCUCGUAAAACAGACGAAUGCAACUGUUCCAUUGGUAAUGUGAUAUAGAAGAUGGCGAGACAAAGAGAGCACUGAGACGCGUGCAAAUGUAUAUCGACGAAUAUCUUGUACAUCGCAUAUUAAAUAAAUCUGAAACUAUUUUCAUAUCAAUUCUAAGUGUAAUCUAAGUGUUCCUAUACGUUUAUUUCGGCGAUUAAAACACUCUGACUGCCACGUCGAAAUCAUAUGUUUCGCUCAGGACUCCACGAGAGUAUUUUUAUUAUUCAAAGCAUAUAAUGGCGAAAUAAUAAUAAAUUGAUGAUGUAAGACAACAUUCUUCCCCAAUGGACCGUUUAUGUUAUUGGUAGUCACGGACGACCAUACUCGAAGAUGGUAUCCCGCUAGGGGUAGCCAUCCGCAUGUUAUUUAGCAAUUAAGUUAGACAAAUUUACCAAAUGUUCAGCUGGACAAAUUGUAAAGUACAAAUUAAAUAAUAAAAAAAAAAAAACGUACAUUGUGUCUCGUCCAGAACUGGCUGAACAUUUUGCUCGAUUUUUAUCAGUCGCUUUUCGUAAGAAGAUCGCGUGUUGAUUUUCUAACGUCGAUGCUAAUUCCAAGUGGAGAGUACUUUAAUGCAACACGGAGAAAGAGAACAAAUUUGUAGGUUUAAGAUCAUCAGGUUUAAACUGGAAACAGAUAGGAAAUUUCAUUCUGAUUCCAUUUAAUUUUACGGCGAUCGAUAUGAUCUGAAGUAUUGAAGAAAGCGACGGACGUUCGCGUUUAAUCGCCGAAAGCAAGUGAAAGCAGCCAGCGGUUUAAAUAUUUAAAAUUCUCAAUUACACCAUGGAUAUUUUUAUGCAAAUUCCUGUCUCUACGAACGUGAUUGAAAGAAUGGAACCUACGUAGAGACGAUAGUUUAACUUAUUUUAAGCAGUUAACUGUUUCUUGUCGAAUAUACUCGUCACGAAGAAAUGACAAUAUCUCGCGUUACGACCAGCAACUGUCGCUAAUAAAAUUCAAAAAUAAAGCAAUCGUUUCGAUACUCCGCGUUUCACCAGAUGUCGCUUACUUCUCGCCACGCAUUUCAGGUACACGUUUCAAAGUUUUUUCAAAGUUCUUAACACUUUACCGACCGCUUGCUCCGACCAGCAUCUCAGGCGCAGAUUCUCCCUGGCGCCAGCUGUGUUUCGGUUUAGACUCUCCAAUAUCAUUCUUUUCGUUCAUAGCGAACGAAAGUUUUUCAAAUUGGUAUAAAACUGUGAAAGCUUACAAAGCAAUGCAACUGAGCAAGGUACCUUACUACUAAAUAACAAAUUACUGCUCAAAUAAUGAGAAAAAUUGUCGACGACAAAACCCCGAUUAAUAGGCUAUCGGUCGGUAAAGUGUUAAGGAGAUCGCACCAGCUAACUGGCCAAACACCCCAUUUCUUUAUACUAUUGGUUGGCAACCAAGUGAUUGCGGAUUUUGUCAUUAGAUGGUAAUGACAAUCACUUAGUUGCCCACCCAAUACAUUUCCAAUAUUUUGUUCAUUUUCGAAUAUCAUGCGCAUUAAAAUCCACGCUUCUGCUCGUUCUAUUUUUCUCUCGUGUUCUUCGCAUGAGAUCGUAAUGCGGCAAUCUCGCGUCGCUCUGCAUUUUUCAUAGAAAAAUGAAGAGACGAUUGGAAGAGCGGAGAGUCGAUAUGGAAGCUGAAAGAGGGUCUCUUCUGAGAAAAAAAGAGAGAGAGAGAGAAAGAGAGAAAGAAAUAGCUGGAAUUCUUCCUCGUAUAAUAUCGUGGAAAUUACGAGAAGGAUAGCUCGUUAUCGUUCAGCAGGCACGGCGUGUUCCUGGUUUGGUGCGGUGGCGUUCGAGUAUCUGGUUUUUAACGAGCAGAAGAGGAAGGGGGAAGAAAAAAAUCCGGCUUCUCCGUAAAGUGGCAGGGAAGCAAAGACCGAGGUCAUGGUAGGGAAAAAGGGCGGCGGAGAGAAAGAGAAAGAGGGAGGAGGAACCGAAGUCUGACUCAAACCGUACGUAAGCUAUGUGUUCCACCUAUCGAAACUUACUCGUAACGUUACACUCGAACCGUGUAAUCUUAGACUAUUGUGAGCGGGGUUCUUUUACAUUCCAGACCACACUUGACUCAGCGUGACGAGACGCGGCAAGGCGCGGGAAUUUUAGAAGGCAAACGUAGCGUGGCGCGGAGACGCGACCGUCCUCUGGUAUUUCUCACUCGAAUUUGUCGUCGGUCGACGGUGAAUUCAUAAGUGUCGUUAAACAAGUGCGCUGCUAGGCCACGAGUACUAGUUUCUAUUUUUAAUUUCUAAUCAUUUUCUUUUCCUCUUUUUUUUCUUUUCUUUCUUCGUGUCUUAGUUUUAGUCGCAUCAAGUAUCAAUACAUCUUCAAAUAUCAGGUAGAAAAAUUUACCGAAUGUCCAGCUGGACAAAUUGUAAAGUAGAAACAAUUAAAAAAAAGAAAAGAGAAAAAAUUCUUCAAGUAUCAAGCUGCCCCAAAAGCGUCUUUCGCUAUCUGCACAUAGCUGCUUUAUCUGGCAAAGUUUAUACAAACGUUCUUUUUUUUAUUAUUUAAUUUGUGCUUUACAAUUUGUCCAGCUGGGCAUUUGCUAAAUUUUUCUAACUUAAUUGCUAAAUAGCAUGUGGAUGGCUACCCCAGCAGGACCUUUGAGUUUGACUAUUUUGUUUCUUUAUUGAGGUUAGUGGGAUGUUUUCUUUUUAGUCUUCUUUCUAUGAGAGUUUUGUACAAACGUGAAACCUAAUUUGUCCGACAUAAAUAGAACAGCGUGAUAGAACAAAACGGAUCGUUAUAAUUCGAUAAAAUAACGUGAAACAAAACAUGUUCUUUCUUAUAAAGUGUAUUUUUUUUUUUUUUUUUUUAAUAAAACGAGAGGAACUUUUGGCACAAUCUAACAUGAAAGAUGUUAUUUGCGAGACUCGUUAGUCGAGAAAUUAAAUCGCGUUGGUCGAUUAUUACAAAUCUACCGAUCUAUUCGUAUCGUACGUGUCUUGUAACGAAGAAACGCUACAUAAAAUAAGAUUUGUCGGAGUUUCGCAAUAAUCGUAAGCUAAUACGUAUCCCACCUUAUUCGAUGUACACGCUGAAAUUAAUACGGAUACCAUGGAAUACAACUCUGGAGAUCAACGAUCGGUAUCGCGAUAUCAGGGACAUUUCAAUCCAAAAUUCUAUCUACAACGAACGUAUCAUAGUGUGAUGAAAAAUGAUUCCUGAUAAAGUAAGAGAAUCUUCGAGUAACGACUGUAAAAAACAAAGAAAGAUAAUUACCAACGUCGCAUCUUUAAAUUGUUCUUGCAGUUUGGAAUUAUCGAUGAGACCUCUUUGUGUUUAAAAAUAAAUUUAUAAAAAUAAGAUUUUCUUCCUGAGAUAUUGAAUUCUUAUUAUAUUCGACUGGCAACUAAGUGAUUGCGGAUUUUGCCAACACCACCUAGCGACAAAAUCCGCAAUCUCCUAGUUGCCAACCUAAUAGAAAUGUACGAACACCUGCGGCUCGAGCAAUGUAGCGUUUCGUCGUUUUUGUUUCAUUUAAUCGAUUUUUAAAAGGAAAAAUAUACCAUACACUAUAUCUGUGUUGUUUUCUCCGUGUCUCUGAUUUGUUGCGACAAUUAACCGUCGUCCGAUAAACGACGCGCAAUUCGGUUCAACUGAAUCGCGCGUUUAUUGUUCGUGUGUUUAUUUGAAAGUAGAAUUAGACGAAAGGAGGGAAGAUGGACUAAUUGCUUUGAAAUUGUUGGCAGUAGUGCCGGACGAGUUCAGCUCUGGUCUGGUGCAAGAAGCUUGGGUCAUCGCCAUCGAAAGCUGGGUUCUAUCGCCGAUUAACGCGAACAAUCGGAAAACUGUUAGCCAAACACAAUGGCGCAAGGUUAUGGGUAGGAAGAGAGGAGGAACGAACCGAUGACACGAAAUAGGAAAUUCGACGAGUAUAGAAGCUAUGGAAGCGGCUCUCUGUUCGAUAACCAUUGUGCCCAGGUCUCGUAAUUUCCUGUUGGAACGUGGACAGCCCGUGGCUGGUACACGGUACUCUUAAACAACGAUCGUCGAUUGCUGCCUUUACAUCGUUACAUAACGCUAAAUUAUUCAUGCGGAAUACCACGCGUUUCCCGCGGCCGAUACUUUUCGCACACCCACCGAAAUUCCUCGGCCAACGUUUCAAUUAUUCAAGGCAUUAAUAUGUGAAAUUAUACGUAUCCUUAACCUACAAUCAGUCGAACGAUUUCAGAUGAAAGUGAUUCUUAUUGAAGAAUAUCGAGGAUUAUUUAUUUAAUACGAGGAUUGUUCUGGUAAAAAUUCUAUUAGUUUCGAAGAAACUUUCAAUACCAAGCGA